rnacentral:rRNA from 1 species
UACGAAGGGAGCUAGCGUUGUUCGGAAUUACUGGGCGUAAAGGGUGCGUAGGCGGGUCUUUAAGUCAGGGGUGAAAUCCUGGAGCUCAACUCCAGAACUGCCUUUGAUACUGAAGAUCUUGAGUUCGGGAGAGGUGAGUGGAACUGCGAGUGUAGAGGUGAAAUUCGUAGAUAUUCGCAAGAACACCAGUGGCGAAGGCGGCUCACUGGCCCGAUACUGACGCUGAGGCACGAAAGCGUGGGGAGCAAACAGG